rnacentral:rRNA from 1 species
AUUGAACGCUGGCGGCAUGCCUUACACAUGCCAGUCGAACGGCAGCACGGGUGCUUGCACCUGGUGGCGAGUGGCAAACGGGUGAGUAAUACAUCGGAACAUGUCCUGUAGUGGGGGAUAGCCCGGCGAAAGCCGGAUUAAUACCGCAUACGAUCUACGGAUGAAAGCGGGGGACCUUCGGGCCUCGCGCUAUAGGGUUGGCCGAUGGCUGAUUAGCUAGUUGGUGGGGUAAAGGCCUACCAAGGCGACGAUCAGUAGCUGGUCUGAGAGGACGACCAGCCACACUGGGACUGAGACACGGCCCAGACUCCUACGGGAGGCAGCAGUGGGGAAUUUUGGACAAUGGGCGAAAGCCUGAUCCAGCAAUGCCGCGUGUGUGAAGAAGGCCUUCGGGUUGUAAAGCACUUUUGUCCGGAAAGAAAUCCUUGGCCCUAAUACGGUCGGGGGAUGACGGUACCGGAAGAAUAAGCACCGGCUAACUACGUG